rnacentral:rRNA from 1 species
AUACGGAGGGUGCAAGCGUUAUUCGGAAUCACUGGGCGUAAAGGACGCGUAGGCGGGUUGGCAAGUCAGAUGUGAAAUCCUACAGCUUAACUGUAGAACUGCAUUUGAAACUGCUAACCUAGAGUAUGGGAGGGGGAGAUGGAAUUAGUGGUGUAGGGGUAAAAUCCGUAGAUAUCACUAGGAAUACCGAAAGCGAAGGCGAUCUCCUGGAACAUAACUGACGCUAAGGCGUGAAAGCGUGGGAAGCAAACAGGAUUAGAUACCCUAGUAGUCC